AAGAGGAAGAGACGGCUAACUCUGUGCCAGCAGCCGCGGUAAUACAGAGGUCUCAAGCGUUGUUCGGAAUCACUGGGCGUAAAGCGUGCGUAGGCUGUUUCGUAAGUCGUGUGUGAAAGGCGCGGGCUCAACCCGCGGACGGCACAUGAUACUGCGAGACUAGAGUAAUGGAGGGGGAACCGGAAUUCUCGGUGUAGCAGUGAAAUGCGUAGAUAUCGAGAGGAACACUCGUGGCGAAGGCGGGUUCCUGGACAUUAACUGACGCUGAGGCACGAAGGCCAGGGGAGCGAAAGGGAUUAGAUACCC
rnacentral:rRNA from 1 species